CCCUUAGAUGUUCUGGGCUGCACGCGUGCUACACUGAUAUUGCCAAUAUGUCAUUCUUAUCCGAAAUGGAUUGGGUAAUCAAGUAAUGAAAUUUCUUGCUUGGAAUCGGUAAUUGCAAUUUUAUCGUGAACGAGGAAUUCCUAGUAAGCACUAGUCAUCAGCUAAUGUUGAUUAUGUCCCUGCCCUUUGUACACACCGCCCGUCGCUACUACUGAUUGGGUGUUCAAGUGAGAUGCUUAGACCCUUGUUGCAUGGUUCAUUAUUGUGCUCCGAAAGGAAAAAGUUUCAAGCUUGAGUGUCUAGAGGAAGUAAAAGUCGUAACA
rnacentral:rRNA from 1 species